UACGUAGGUGGCGAGCGUUGUCCGGAUUUACUGGGCGUAAAGGGCGUGUAGGCGGGCAGGUAAGUCGGGCGUGAAAUCCCUGAGCUCAACUCAGGAACUGCACUCGAAACUACUUGUCUUGAGUACCGGAGAGGAAAGCGGAAUACCUGGUGUAGAGGUGAAAUUCGUAGAUAUCAGGUGGAACACCAGUGGCGAAGGCGGCUUUCUGGACGGUAACUGACGCUGAGACGCGAAAGCGUGGGGAGCAAACAGG
rnacentral:rRNA from 1 species